rnacentral:rRNA from 1 species
AUACGGAGGGAGCAAGCGUUAUUCGGAAUCACUGGGCGUAAAGGACGCGUAGGCGGGUUUGUAAGUCAGGUGUGAAAUCCUACAGCUCAACUGUAGAACUGCAUUUGAAACUGCUAACCUAGAGUAUGGGAGGGGGAGAUGGAAUUAGUGGUGUAGGGGUAAAAUCCGUAGAUAUCACUAGGAAUACCGAAAGCGAAGGCGAUCUCCUGGAACAUAACUGACGCUAAGGCGUGAAAGCGUGGGGAGCAAACAGGAUUAGAUACCCCUGUAGUCC